AUGCCAGAGAACGUCACCGGCGGGCUGUCGCACUGGCUGCCCGAUGAGUUCUGCGGGGUGACGCUCGUGGCCGACAAAGAGUUCCCCGGUGUAUGCCGCUGGGCGAAGGCAUACAUCGAUGAGGAGCACGUGAAGCGGUGGCUGCCAGACAAGGGGGCGCUCGUCGCCAUUAGGGUCGGGCCCAUAGCGUACAGGAAACAUGAUCAUCCAUCGUCGGAUCGAUCGGCUUCGGCGACAGUUCUUACAACGCUGCUAGAUCGGAUCAUUGGAAACGUGAUCGUUGGAUCAAUCGGCAACAGUUCCAGACUCCAGAACACCGGCAAGGGGCGGCACGGCUACAGUUCCAGACUCCAGAACACUGGUGAUGGGCAGCAUGGCGACAGUUACUCUGAUCCUCUCGCCAAAACAAGGAGAGAUGUUUCGGUGAAUCAGAAGUGA
rnacentral:rRNA from 1 species